AAGGGAACGGUCUUGAAAACCGUCGUGGCUUCGCGCCACCGUGGGUUCAAAUCCCACACCCACCG
rnacentral:tRNA from 1 species